rnacentral:rRNA from 1 species
UACGUAGGUGGCGAGCGUUGUCCGGAUUUACUGGGCGUAAAGAGCGCGCAGGCGGUCGUACAAGUCGCGUGUGAAAGCCCCCGGCUCAACUGGGGAGGGUCACGCGAUACUGUUCGACUCGAAGGCAGGAGAGGGAAGUGGAAUUCCCGGUGUAGUGGUGAAAUGCGUAGAUAUCGGGAGGAACACCAGUGGCGAAGGCGGCUGCCUGGGCCAGUUCUGACGCUGAGGCGCGAAAGCGUGGGGAGCAAACAGG